UGGCGGCGUGCCUAACACAUGCAAGUCGAGCGGAGUCGGUAAGAGGAAGUUUCGGAUGGAAUCUAUGAUUAGCGGCGGACGGGUGAGUAACGCGUGAGCGACCAACCUGCACAGGGGGAUAACGGACCGAAAGGUUCACUAAUACCGCAUGAGACCACGGUGUUGCAUGACACAGAGGUCAAAGGAGCAAUCCGGUGCAAGACGGGCUCGCGUCCGAUUAGGUAGUUGGAGGGGUAACGGCCCACCAAGCCUAUGAUCGGUAGCCGACCUGAGAGGGUGAUCGGCCACAUUGGAACUGAGAUACGGUCCAAACUCCUACGGGAGGCAGCAGUGGGGAAUAUUGGGCAAUGGGGGAAACCCUGACGGAGCAACGCCGCGUGAGUGAAGAAAGGUUUUCGGAUCGUAAAACUCUGUUGUCAGAGAAGAACAAGUUGGAGAGUAACUGCUCCAGCCUUGACGGUAUCUGACCAGAAAGCCACGGCUAACUACGUGCCAGCCGCCGC
rnacentral:rRNA from 1 species